AUUUACCUCCAUUGUCCUGCAUUGCCCCAGUCUACUCCUUCUCUUCCUCCUCUCAGUCAUCUGUAAAGCCACCACCUCAUCUUAAAGCUCAGAGCCCCAAAAUUGCUCAAUUGUAUCAAUGAACAAAAAAAACAAGAACAGCAGGUACAGAAAUGUGGAAGACACCAACUUGCAUUUCCACUAGAAAUUGCUCCGAUGUUUUCUGAACAGCCAAUCAACAAGCCAUAAUAACCAUAAAUGCCAAUAUAGGUUCAAAUGGAGUUAAUGGAUGCAGGUGCCAGGUCUUUACGGAUGAGUGGGAGUGAAAACAAAUUCUUGUUUUGGCUUUAAGAUUGUAGUGGAUGGCAAAUGAGUUUGGGCCCAUUUUACGACAAGUAAAAAUGGAAACUCAAAGUGCAACAAAUUCACCACUAAGUCUGGACUUCUUUGGCUGUUACCUAAAAUAUUUUACAUCCAAUUUUGCAGUCACGUCUAUUUAGACUCUUGAUUAA